UCCUAGUAUGUUUUUUUUUGUUUUUAAAGUAGAGUAUUCUCAUACUGGUCUGGUCCAUAUAAAUGUUGUGACAAAAACCUUACAAAUACGUACGUUACGUAGCAAAACGGGUAAGAGAGAGAGAAAAAAAAAAACAAAACUGGUCAAGGAGACAAGAGUGAAGCUGUCGGGGUCGGGAUCGAAGGAGGUGGAUAAGCACGCGCGGCCGGAGGAUGAUAUGACCCACACUUGACACUACUGAGCCACCUCUUCCCCCACUUCAACGACUUUCUCUCUCUUCUCUCAAGUCGCUUUCACACCCAAAAACAACGAAACUUGUAGAAAGAGAGAGAGAGGUGUGGUGUGGUGUGGCAUGGUUUGUGUGUGUUGGUGCUAUGGGACGAUGUGUCCUAUUUGUUUUUGCAGCCGUCCUUUCGUUGUCGGAUAUUCGGGUCCGGACUCCGGACCGGUCCUAUCAGAUCAAAACCACUGACACCCUCCCCCUUAUUCCCUCCCUCUCUUUCUUCUUGUCUUUUUCUUCCUCAAUCCACUCUGUUUUCUGAUUCCAAUUGAUCCAAUCCAAUGGGUAUGUUUUUUUUUUUGUCCUUUGAACGUGCAUGAAAGAGAGCCAAAGAGGGCUAGCUUCGUCUUUUUCA